GAUGAACGCCGGCGGUGUUGCCUAAUACAUGCAAAGUUGUACGCAUUGGCCCAACUGAUUGAUGGUGCUUUGCACCUGAUUGACGAUGGAUCACCAGUGAGUGGCGGACGGGUGAGUAACACGUAGGUAACCUGCCCCGGAGCGGGGGAUAACAUUUGGAAACAGAUGCUAAUACCGCAUAACAACAAAAGCCACAUGGCUUUUUGUUUGAAAGAUGGCUUUGGCUAUCACUCUGGGAUGGACCUGCGGUGCAUUAGCUAGUUGGUAAGGUAACGGCUUACCAAGGCGAUGAUGCAUAGCCGAGUUGAGAGACUGAUCGGCCACAAUGGAACUGAGACACGGUCCAUACUCCUACGGGAGGCAGCAGUAGGGAAUCUUCCACAAUGGGCGCAAGCCUGAUGGAGCAACACCGCGUGAGUGAAGAAGGGUUUCGGCUCGUAAAGCUCUGUUGUUGGAGAAGAACGUGCGUGAGAGUAACUGUUCACGCAGUGACGGUAUCCAACCAGAAAGUCCACGGCUAANUACGUGCCAGCAGCGGCGGUAAUACGUAGGUGGCAAGCGUUAUCCGGAUUUAUUGGGCGUAAAGCGAGCGCAGGCGGUUGUUUAGGUCUGAUGUGAAAGCCUUCGGCUUAACCGAAGAAGUGCAUCGGAAACCGGCGACUUGAGUGCAGAAGAGGACAGUGGAACUCCAUGUGUAGCGGUGGAAUGCGUAGAUAUAUGGAAGAACACCAGUGGCGAAGGCGGCUGUCUGGUCUGCAACUGACGCUGAGGCUCGAAAGCAUGGGUAGCGAACAGGAUUAGAUACCCUGGUAGUCCAUGCCGUAAACGAUGAGUGCUAGGUGUUGGAGGGUUUCCGCCCUUCAGUGCCGGAGCUAACGCAUUAAGCACUCCGCCUGGGGAGUACGACCGCAAGGUUGAAACUCAAAGGAAUUGACGGGGGCCCGCACAAGAGGUGGAGCAUGUGGUUUAAUUCGAAGCUACGCGAAGAACCUUACCAGGUCUUGACAUCUUUGCGCUAACCUUAGAGAUAAGGCGUUCCCUUCGGGGACGCAAUGACAGGUGGUGCAUGGUCCUCGUCAGCUCGUGUCGUGAGAUGUUGGGUUAAGUCCCGCAACGAGCGCAACCCUUGUUACUAGUUGCCAGCAUUAAGUUGGGCACUCUAGUGAGACUGCCGGUGACAAACCGGAGGAAGGUGGGGACGACGUCAGAUCAUCAUGCCCCUUAUGACCUGGGCUACACACGUGCUACAAUGGACGGUACAACGAGUCGCAAACUCCCGAGAGCAAAGCUAAUCUCUUAAAAGCCCUUCUCAGUUCGGACUGUAGGCUGCAACUCGCCUACCUGAAGUCGGAAUCGAUAGUAAUCCGGGAUCAACAUGCCCGGGUGAAUACUUUCCCGGGCCUUGUACACACCGCCCGUCAAACCAUGGAAUUUUGUAAACGCCCAAAAUUCGGGGGCCAUAACACUUUUUUGGGAGGGGAGCCCCCCUAAGGCGGGACAAAAAGACUGGGGU
rnacentral:rRNA from 1 species